GGGAACGUACCCUUUGGUGCGGAACAACGUCUGGAAACGGACGCUAAUACCGCAUAAUAUCUACGGAUCAAAGAUUUAUCGCCAAAGGAACGGCCCGCGUUAGAUUAGGUAGUUGGUAGGGUAAUGGCCUACCAAGCCUACGAUCUAUAGCUGGUUUGAGAGGAUGAUCAGCCACACUGGGACUGAGACACGGCCCAGACUCCUACGGGAGGCAGCAGUUAGGAAUAUUGGACAAUGGGGGAAACCCUGAUCCAGCCAUGCCGCGUGUGUGAAGAAGGCCUUAGGGUUGUAAAGCACUUUCAUCUGCGAAGAUAAUGACAGUAACAGAAGAAGAAGCUCCGGCUAAAUUCGUGCCAGCAGCCGCGGUAAUACGAAUGGAGCGAGCGUUGUUCGAAAUCACUGGGCGUAAAGCGUGCGCAGGCGGUCAUGAAAGUUAGAAGUGAAAUCCCAGGGCUUAACCUUGGAAUUGCUUUUAAAACUCCAUGACUGGAGUACUGGAGAGGUUGGCGGAAUUCCGAGU
rnacentral:rRNA from 1 species